rnacentral:rRNA from 1 species
UAAGGGAUAUUGCGCCAAUGGGCGAAAGCCUGACGCAGCAACGCCGCGUGCGGGAGGAAGGCCUUCGGGUUGUAAACCGCUUUUCCGGGGGAAGAGGAAGGACGGUACCCUGGGAAUAAGUCUCGGCUAACUACGUGCCAGCAGCCGCGGUAAAACGUAGGAGGCGAGCGUUAUCCGGAUUUACUGGGUGUAAAGCGCGUGCAGGCGGAGACGCAAGUCGUGCGUGAAAGCGCUCUGGCUCAACCGGGCGAGGACGUGCGGAACUGCGUUACUAGAGGCAGGUAGAGGCGUGUGGAAUUCCGGGUGUAGUGGUGAAAUGCGUGGAGAUCCGGAGGAACACCUGUGGCGAAGGCGACGCGCUGGGCCUGACCUGACGCUAAGACGCGAAAGCAUGGGAGGCGAACGGGAGUAGUAUACCCGACGUAG